rnacentral:tRNA from 1 species
GGCAGCGUGGCCGAGUGGUUUAUUAGGACGCUGGUCUUGUAAUCCGGAGGUCCAGGGUUCAAGCCCUCCAUCCUGCCA